CCAGACUCCUACGGGAGGCAGCAGUGGGGGAUAUUGCACAAUGGGGGGAACCCUGAUGCAGCGACGCCGCGUGAGUGAAGAAGUAUUUCGGUAUGUAAAGCUCUAUCGGCAGGGAAGAAAAAAAUGACAGUACCUGACUAAGAAGCCCCGGCUAACUACGUGCCAGCAGCCGCGGUAAUACGUCUGGAGCAAGCGUUAUCCGGAUUUACUGGGUGUAAAGGGAGCGCAGGCGGCCUUGCAAGUCUGAUGUGAAAGGCCGGGGCCCAACCCCGGGACUGCAUUGGAAACUGCGAGGCUGGAGUGUCGGAGAGGCAGGCGGAAUUCCUAGUGUAGCGGUGAAAUGCGUAGAUAUUAGGAGGAACACCAGUGGCGAAGGCGGCCUGCUGGACGAUGACUGACGCUGAGGCUCGAAAGCGUGGGGAGCAAACAGGAUUAGAUACCCGUGUAC
rnacentral:rRNA from 1 species